rnacentral:rRNA from 1 species
CCUACGGGGGGCUGCAGUAAGGAAUAUUGGUCAAUGGACGAAAGUCUGAACCAGCCAUGCCGCGUGAAGGAUGAAGGUCCUCUGGAUUGUAAACUUCUUUUAUCUGGGACGAAAAAAGCUCAUUCUUGAGCACUUGACGGUACCAGAGGAAUAAGCACCGGCUAACUCCGUGCCAGCAGCCGCGGUAAUACGGAGGGUGCAAGCGUUAUCCGGAUUUACUGGGUUUAAAGGGUGCGUAGGUGGAUUUGUAAGUCAGUGGUGAAAUCUCCGAGCUUAACUCGGAAACUGCCAUUGAUACUAUAAGUCUUGAAUUAUCUGGAGGUAAGCGGAAUAUGUCAUGUAGCGGUGAAAUGCUUAGAUAUGACAUAGAACACCAAUUGCGAAGGCAGCUUACUACGGAUUUAUUGACACUGAGGCACGAAAGCGUGGGGAUCAAACAGGAUUAGAUACCCCUGUAGUC